AUUGAACGCUGGCGGCAUGCCUUACACAUGCAAGUCGAACGGCAGCACGGGAGCAAUCCUGGUGGCGAGUGGCGAACGGGUGAGUAAUGUAUCGGAACGUACCUUUCAGUGGGGGAUAACGUAGCGAAAGUUACGCUAAUACCGCAUAUUCUGUGAGCAGGAAAGCAGGGGAUCGCAAGACCUUGCGCUGAUUGAGCGGCCGAUAUCAGAUUAGCUAGUUGGUGAGGUAAAGGCUCACCAAGGCGACGAUCUGUAGCGGGUCUGAGAGGAUGAUCCGCCACACUGGAACUGAGACACGGUCCAGACUCCUACGGGAGGCAGCAGUGGGGAAUUUUGGACAAUGGGCGCAAGCCUGAUCCAGCCAUGCCGCGUGAGUGAAGAAGGCCUCGGGUUGUAAGUCGUACUUUCUAGCCGGGAAGGAAAACGACGAAUAGGGUUAAGUAACCCGUGUGUGGAGUGACGGUACCGGAAGU
rnacentral:rRNA from 1 species